AUACGGAGGAUGCGAGCGUUAUCCGGAUUUAUUGGGUUUAAAGGGAGCGUAGGCGGACUAUUAAGUCAGCUGUGAAAGUUUGCGGCUCAACCGUAAAAUUGCAGUUGAUACUGGUCGUCUUGAGUGCAGUAGAGGUAGGCGGAAUUCGUGGUGUAGCGGUGAAAUGCUUAGAUAUCACGAAGAACUCCGAUUGCGAAGGCAGCUUACUGGACUGUAACUGACGCUGAUGCUCGAAAGUGUGGGUAUCAAACAGGAUUAGAUACCCUGGUAGUCCGCACAGUAAACGAUGAAUACUCGCUGUUUGCGAUACACUGUAAGCGGCCAAGCGAAAGCGUUAAGUAUUCCACCUGGGGAGUAUGCCGGCAACGGUGAAACUCAAAGGAAUUGACGGGG
rnacentral:rRNA from 1 species